AGGGCCGCCCCCUCCCCUUUUUCAUUCUCCCGGGACCGCGACGAAAGCAUUUCUGGUGGCCGGACCGCGUGGUCUGCCUCAUCCACCACAUCGCGGAGGGACGAACAAAGGGGGGCUGAAUUCCCCUUAACAGGAUGCGUGGAAUUGAUUCCAAAGACUCUCGCUACCUUGGAUACUUUUUUUUGUUCUUUGUCUUCGGGAGGAACGACUCCUGGGUCUGAAGGACAAAGAGUCGUUCUCUCCAAUGCGAAAAUCGCGGCUUGGGCAGCUCUGCAUUCUGCAGCAAAAGUUUGCAAGAGAGUCAUGUUGUUAUUCCUGUGCCGACCGAAAACCAUAGCAACAUCUGGUGACCUGACGUUUUCGAAGAAGUUCAGCGCAGCCGGGACUGAUUGAUGCAGCAAAGCCUGAAAAUUGCUACCUGCCUCCUCAGAGAGAUUACAUAUAGUAAAUAUCUGCGUAGAGCCACACAUACAAUAUGCCUUUUUCACACUGGGCAAGAUCAAAGCGAGCGUCUGUAAGCCUCUCCUGGCCAGCAGAGACGGUGCUUCCUUGGCUUUUCCUUCUCCUUUCUUCAUACCACGGAUGGCUGGCAGUGGUUCCUGCGUUAUCACCCACUGCGACUGGCCUGUACCGUGACUUUAAAAGAUGCCAGCCCGUCCAAGAUACAUCUGGUCAGAUUCUGACCCAGAGUGUGACACAACGAUCCUUUCCUCGUCGGCGUGGCCCAGCAUCUGGCCUGCGGACGGGACCGGGAUCGAAAACCUUUGAUCCCUCUGUAUCCUUCUGUGUGUUCAGGGCGAAAAGUUCACUUUAUGAGUGUUUUAUGCUACCUGUGCUUGUUUUCAUUAUUGCCUGGUUCUAGGCCUGCUCUGCUCUGUUCUUGGUUGCAUCUCACAGUCACUCAUUGGGUAAAAUAUACACUCAUGGGUGCACUGGCAUUUGGUCCAGCAUCAACCCAUGACAGUCACAUAGACUGCAAAGAUGACCAUGUGCUUGGAAGUUAUGGAGACAACACAAGUCCUGUGUCAGCAGCAUGGUCCUGUUUUCAUCGAUCUUCCUCAAGUCACUCCCUGCUUCAGAUGUCAAGAAGACAUCCAGUGAUGCUAAGGAUCAACAUCUUGUCUCAAUGGACUUUCCCUUUUCAUGUGUUUUAAUUUUAUAGUAGAUGUUGUUUCAUUUAAGUUUCCUACAUAGAUGUAGUUGUAUUUUAGGUAAUAUUUCAUGUGCCUUCGGUGUAUGUUUUGUAGUUAUUAAGGGCUGUUGUUUCACUUUGUGGUUUUUGCCUUUCUGGUCAUUGGGAUCACGUAGAUAUUUUUGGAGUCAGAUAUCUUUUUAUUGAUAUUUUUAUUAAUUUUAUUAUUCUUAAUUUUUUUUCUUUCUAGGUGACAUCCUACAGGUAUCAUAGGCCAAUUGAGUGAACGAUGGUCCAAUCCUGCACAUCCUGCAAUGGGUCUUUGCCCUUUCAAACAUCACAUGCACUUUUGCAUUAAAAAAAAAAAAAAAAAAAAAAGGGUCAACUCAGGUUGUCCAAAUAAUUGGAAAAUUAAAUCAGUUUGCUGUUGCAGGUGUGAUGCAAGGAUCACCGUCUUUUGCUAAAAAGCAGGGAAAGCCCUUGUUAUCUGAAAGGAUGAUUCCUAGAGUGAUGGAUCUUGACAAAUUAGACUGCCAUUUUUGAGCAGGCUUAUCAUGUUUUGGUUUUUUCUGUAUUAGAAUUAGUAAAUAGCUAAGCUUGACGCUGGUGCAUGGACAUGGUUGUGAAGGGUCAACACCAAAGGCCACAGAACUUCCCUGACCAUUUAAGUCAGUGACCAAUGGAAGUUCUAUUUAGUAAUUGGUUGAUUACUAAUGGGACUUCUGGUGUCAUGUUUGUCUUUUUUUCUCUUGCAAGGGCCUUGCAGGAGAGGACACAGACACAGAUGCCUCCCUCAGCAAAACCUAAAAGGGGGAGAUGUGGGCCUGACAUUGGUCUGCACUUAGGCUUCAGGCUCUGCCAGUGUCUGUGUGAAAGGCAAGCAAGCAACUUUCUCAUGUUAGCCUGAGAAAUCGUAAGGAGGAAUUCAAACAAACCUUGGGAAGUGAGAAACCAUCUGCAGGUGGUGUUUUUCCAACAUGUUUACUGGAAAGAAAUGUGUACUAAAGGGUGUAGACGCUGAAUAACCAAUCAUGUUCUUUGUACCGAACUACUCUAUAAAAGUAGAACUUAGAAGAAUAAAGUUUGCUCUCAUCUUUACCAUCAUGGAGAGUCAUGUUGUUAUUCCUGUGCCGUCCGAAAACCAUAGCAACAGUUGUGCAUUGUGGAAUUGCACUUUAUGGAAAUGGUUUGCUCUGGCUCACCCCUGGAAAAUGUAUGGUUUAUCCCAAGUCUGUACUCUCCCUGCAGUAUCGUGUAUCUGUAACUCUAUUGGCUGGAGAAUGUUACCGCGCCCACUUUGAACCUCUGUGUUAAGAAUGCAAACGCAGAAGGUUCGCCCUCUUUGCCCCUCUUCCCCCUGGAGGUCUCGAGACGCUCCCCUUCCUUCUCCCCCCUUCCCCCUCUCCCACAGGACCAUGCUCCCUGCCUGGAGUGAGACUGAAUAAACCCUCAUCUCAUCAGCACCUCAGUAGCCGUCUGAAGUCUCUUUGCCUGCCAGCACGGGAACACCCACGACCUUAGGACCCGGGGGUCUCCCGGGGGACCCCCCCUGGGAGCCCCCCAAAAUUUAAACUACAACAGUGCAUUAAUCCUUAUGCUUGAUCUAUUUUUUUUUUUUUUGCCAGAGUGUGCAUUUAUAAUAUAUACAUGGCUUACACCCAGGGAUUUCAGUACUACAAGGUCCCUUUUUAUACAAGAAUUCAACAUGUGUUUGGUUGAAGGGGUUUUUUUGGUUGUUAAACCAAUAGCUCUGCACAGAGAAAUCUGGUGUGAGUUCCUCUUUUCACUCCAUAAAUUCAGUCUGAAAUUAGAUAGAAUUAUAAGACUCACUUAUUUCCUUUUGUCCUGACACUCUUUUUCAUCUCUUUUAUGCUGGCCUGCUCAUAGUUCUUGUAUUUGAGUCCACAGAGCAGUGAGUGACUGCAGAGCAGGGUGCCACUGGGAGAGAACCUUUGGGGUGACACUCCAAAUAUUAUUCUUCUCUCAGUGACCACAAUCAGAUAUCAGGAAAUCCUGCAACAGCAAAACAAAUGAAGUUGAACAUCCCCAGAGUUAGUAUUUUUUUUUUGGAAGGGGGAGUGGGCAUAAUUUUACCUUUUCAUGAGGUUAUAAUCAUAACCCAGGAUUUCAUUCUUGGGCAUUGUGGAUACUGAAAGCGAGAGAUCAGACAGCAACAGCAGAGUCUGUGUCUGUGUGAAAUUACGUCAUAACUUUCUCACACUGGACUGAGAAAUUUCAAGGAAGAAUCAAAAACAAUCCUUGGAAGGUGAAAAACUGUUAAAAGUGGAAAACCGUUAGCAGUUGGUGUUGUUGUGUUUUUUCUAACUUGUUAUUUACUUGGAAAUAACAGUCAAGGGGUGUUGUCUGAGUGUCCAAUAAUGUUUCUUUCUCAAAACUGUAUAUAAAGGAUGCUGAAAAAUAAAGAUAUCUCUCUCUCAUCUUGGAGAUCAGAAGUCUGUGUGUUGUUACUUCUGCCAUUCCUAAUCAACAAUGACAGGGCAUGACUCAGAGGCCAUCAUUCUACCAGUGCAUAAUUUGACAUUUCUCUGUAUUGAAUCUCAGGGGUCUUUUUAUUGCCCAGUUACUGAACUUUGCUGACUUUUUGUUCAAAUCUACAAUUCUUCACUGCCAGGGCCCGAGUGUGAUAAUCUGCUGCUCAGCAUCAUCAGGAAAUGUUAACAACUUAUAGCUCAAAUCCUUUUCCCAGAUGUUAUAAAUAUGCUGGACAGCGAAGUUCCAGCCUCCAAGCCUUAUGUAACUACUAAUAAAUUCCCUCAAGGUUAAAGACAAGCUUGCACUCCUACCUCGUUUUGCACUUUAGCCAAUUAUUUUUCCUCUUAUGUACCUUCCUUCUUAUCACAUAUCACAAGAGGAUGUGCAGACCAGGAAAUAUCCUGUGGGACACUUAUAAACAGGCAGCAGGAGCUGUAAACACAGAGAUUCAAAAAUUAUUGGUGCUAGUUUGCAUGCUUAAUGUACGAAUAAAAUGAGUAAUCAGUCAGAAACUGUGAUGCGUGACAGAUGAGAGAAGAUAAGAAAACAAGGGCAAUGAAGAGUUGUAGCUUGGCUCCUCUGGUUAUAGAACAAAGAUAAGACUUUCAGUGCUGCUCUUCAGUCACACUAUAAUUCUUCCCACCUCAGAUGCAACAUUGGAUAAAUGUAUUUCCAUAGCAAAUCCAAUCUUCAAUCAGAUCCUGCUGGCAAAAAAAAAAAAAAAAAAAAAAAAAAAAAAAAAAAAGCC